AAAUGAAUAAAUAAAAAAAAAAAAGACUGCUCACUCCCCCAUAUGCUGGCAUAGAUUGUCCUUGCGAAUGUUGGACAAUCUCUCUACAAAUAAAUCAAUAUUGUCGUCGCGAUCUAUCAAACUAAUCCUAACGUAUUGCAGGCCAACUCCGAAGUGUCUCCCACUCCUCGUCAAGAUCUUGUUAGAACGUAGGAACCUCUCGCAGUCUUCGAUCGGUUCUUCGCACUUCAACCAUGCA
rnacentral:misc_RNA from 1 species